CUAGCAUAUCAAUAAGCGGAGGAAAAGAAACCAACAGGGGAUUGCCUCAGUAACGGCGAGUGAAGCGGCAACAGCUCAAAUUUGAAAUCUGGCGCAAGCCCGAGUUGUAAUUUGCAGAGGAUGUUUCGGGUGAGGCCGCGGUCCAAGUCCCUUGGAACAGGACGUCAUAGAGGGUGAGAACCCCGUACCUGGCCGCCGGCUCCCCCCGCUGUGAAACUCCUUCGACGAGUCGAGUUGUUUGGGAAUGCAGCUCUAAAUUGGUGGUAAAUUCCAUCUAAAGCUAAAUACCGGCCAGAGACCGAUAGCGCACAAGUAGAGUGAUCGAAAGAUGAAAAGCACUUUGAAAAGAGAGUUAAAAAGUACGUGAAAUUGUUGAAAGGGAAGCGCUUGCGGCCAGACUUGCCCGCGGUUGCUCAGCCCGCCUUUUGGCGGGUGCACUCUUCCGCGGUCAGGCCAGCAUCGGUUCGGGCGGUCGGAUAAAGGCGACGGGAACGUGGCCUCCCCUCGGGGAGGUGUUAUAGCCCGGCGCGCAAUGCGGCCAGCCCGGACCGAGGUUCGCGCUCUGCUAGGAUGCUGGCGUAAUGGCCGUAAGCGGCCCGUCUUGAAACACGGACCAAGGAGUCUAACAUCUAUGCGAGUGUUUGGGUGUCAAACCCGUGCGCGUAAUGAAAGUGAACGGAGGUGGGAACCGCAAGGUGCACCAUCGACCGAUCCUGAUGUCUUCGGAAGGAUUUGAGUAAGAGCAUAGCUGUUGGGACCCGAAAGAUGGUGAACUAUGCGUGAAUAGGGUGAAGCCAGAGGAAACUCUGGUGGAGGCUCGCAGCGGUUCUGACGUGCAAAUCGAUCGUCAAAUUUGCGUAUAGGGGCGAAAGACUAAUCGAACCAUUUAGUAGCUGGUUCCUGCCGAGUUU
rnacentral:rRNA from 1 species